GUUAUGGUUAUGAUAUACUAUGGUGUUGUGUCACUAGACUUUGACCAGAUAUUAUUGCAUCCAAAGAUCAACUGAACCUAGAACAUAGAUACAGAGACACUUGUCAUCAGGAAGGUGAUCUCUCAGCACAACGGAAAAUAUCUCAAUGACUUGACAUGUUCUGGUUGUGAAUUCAGGCUACAAGGGGUCAGUGCUCUAAAAUGAGUCUCUCUGGG